GUUAACUGUAGAGAUAGGCAAACAUUAUAUUUAAAAUCGUGGAAAUGACAUUUCCUCUUUAAGCCCAAUUUCCUGUUUUUUUACGUUUACCUUUUGGUUGAUCAGUUAGGUUAGUGUGGUUUAUAUGAUGUCAUUUGAGAUCUCCUCAUAAAAACAGAUUUAUAUGGACGUUACAAAAACACUUAAUUUUAAAAAGUGUCAUUUCAAUAGGGCAUCUUCACAACACAUUGACUGACAGAAACUAUUCACUAACACAUGCACACAGGAUAAAUAGAAGGUAUUUAACCCCUUAAG